rnacentral:rRNA from 1 species
UAAGCGNNGAAAAAAACUAAGAUUCCCCUAGUAACGGCGAGUGAAGCGGGAUGAGCUCAAUUUAAAUCUGGUGGUCUUUGNCUGCCCGAGUUGUAAUCUAGAGAAGUGUUUNNGCGCUGGACUGUGUACAAGUUUCCUGGAUACGGAACAUCAUAGAGGGUGAGAAUCCCGUCCNUGACACAGACUCCCAGUGCUUUGUGAUGCACUCUCAACGAGUCGAGUUGUUUGGGAUUGCAGCUCAAAAUGGGAGGUAAAUUCCUUCUAAAGCUAAAUAUUGGCGAGAGACCGAUAGCGAACAAGUACCGUGAGGGAAAGAUGAAAAGCACUUUGGAAAGAGAGUGAAACAGUACGUGAAAUUGUUGAAAGGGAAACGCUUGAAGUCAGUCGCGUCGUCCGAGACUCAGCCUCGCCUCGGCUUGGCGUACUUCUCGGCCCGACGGGUCAGCAUCAAUUUCGCCUCUCGGAUAAUGGCGAGGGAAAAGUGACACCUUUACGGUGUGUUAUAGUCUCUCGUCGCAUGCGAGGGUCGGGAUUGAGGAACUCAGCACGCGCCCUCGGGCGUCGGGGCUUUCGCCCACGAUACGUGCUUAGGAUGUUGGCGUAAUGGCUUUAAACGACC